rnacentral:rRNA from 1 species
GGUUAACCGAAUAGGGGAGCCGAAGGGAAACCGAGUCUUAACUGGGCGUUAAGUUGCAGGGUAUAGACCCGAAACCCGGUGAUCUAGCCAUGGGCAGGUUGAAGGUUGGGUAACACUAACUGGAGGACCGAACCGACUAAUGUUGAAAAAUUAGCGGAUGACUUGUGGCUGGGGGUGAAAGGCCAAUCAAACCGGGAGAUAGCUGGUUCUCCCCGAAAGCUAUUUAGGUAGCGCCUCGUGAAUUCAUCUCCGGGGGUAGAGCACUGUUUCGGCAAGGGGGUCAUCCCGACUUACCAACCCGAUGCAAACUGCGAAUACCGGAGAAUGUUAUCACGGGAGACACACGGCGGGUGCUAACGUCCGUCGUGAAGAGGGAAACAACCCAGACCGCCAGCUAAGGUCCCAAAGUCAUGGUUAAGUGGGAAACGAUGUGGGAAGGCCCAGACAGCCAGGAUGUUGGCUUAGAAGCAGCCAUCAUUUAAAGAAAGCGUAAUAGCUCACUGGUCGAGUCGGCCUGCGCGGAAGAUGUAACGGGGCUAAACCAUGCACCGAAGCUGCGGCAGCGACGCUUAUGCGUUGUUGGGUAGGGGAGCGUUCUGUAAGCCUGCGAAGGUGUGCUGUGAGGCAUGCUGGAGGUAUCAGAAGUGCGAAUGCUGACAUAAGUAACGAUAAAGCGGGUGAAAAGCCCGCUCGCCGGAAGACCAAGGGUUCCUGUCCAACGUUAAUCGGGGCAGGGUGAGUCGACCCCUAAGGCGAGGCCGAAAGGCGUAGUCGAUGGGAAACAGGUUAAUAUUCCUGUACUUGGUGUUACUGCGAAGGGGGGACGGAGAAGGCUAUGUUGGCCGGGCGACGGUUGUCCCGGUUUAAGCGUGUAGGCUGGUUUUCCAGGCAAAUCCGGAAAAUCAAGGCUGAGGCGUGAUGACGAGGCACUACGGUGCUGAAGCAACAAAUGCCCUGCUUCCAGGAAAAGCCUCUAAGCAUCAGGUAACAUCAAAUCGUACCCCAAACCGACACAGGUGGUCAGGUAGAGAAUACCAAGGCGCUUGAGAGAACUCGGGUGAAGGAACUAGGCAAAAUGGUGCCGUAACUUCGGGAGAAGGCACGCUGAUAUGUAGGUGAAGCGACUUGCUCGUGGAGCUGAAAUCAGUCGAAGAUACCAGCUGGCUGCAACUGUUUAUUAAAAACACAGCACUGUGCAAACACGAAAGUGGACGUAUACGGUGUGACGCCUGCCCGGUGCCGGAAGGUUAAUUGAUGGGGUCAGCGCAAGCGAAGCUCUUGAUCGAAGCCCCGGUAAACGGCGGCCGUAACUAUAACGGUCCUAAGGUAGCGAAAUUCCUUGUCGGGUAAGUUCCGACCUGCACGAAUGGCGUAAUGAUGGCCAGGCUGUCUCCACCCGAGACUCAGUGAAAUUGAACUCGCUGUGAAGAUGCAGUGUACCCGCGGCAAGACGGAAAGACCCCGUGAACCUUUACUAUAGCUUGACACUGAACAUUGAGCCUUGAUGUGUAGGAUAGGUGGGAGGCUUUGAAGUGUGGACGCCAGUCUGCAUGGAGCCGACCUUGAAAUACCACCCUUUAAUGUUUGAUGUUCUAACGUGGACCCGUAAUCCGGGUUGCGGACAGUGUCUGGUGGGUAGUUUGACUGGGGCGGUCUCCUCCUAAAGAGUAACGGAGGAGCACGAAGGUUGGCUAAUCCUGGUCGGACAUCAGGAGGUUAGUGCAAUGGCAUAAGCCAGCUUGACUGCGAGCGUGACGGCGCGAGCAGGUGCGAAAGCAGGUCAUAGUGAUCCGGUGGUUCUGAAUGGAAGGGCCAUCGCUCAACGGAUAAAAGGUACUCCGGGGAUAACAGGCUGAUACCGCCCAAGAGUUCAUAUCGACGGCGGUGUUUGGCACCUCGAUGUCGGCUCAUCACAUCCUGGGGCUGAAGUAGGUCCCAAGGGUAUGGCUGUUCGCCAUUUAAAGUGGUACGCGAGCUGGGUUUAGAACGUCGUGAGACAGUUCGGUCCCUAUCUGCCGUGGGCGCUGGAGAACUGAGGGGGGCUGCUCCUAGUACGAGAGGACCGGAGUGGACGCAUCACUGGUGUUCGGGUUGUCAUGCCAAUGGCACUGCCCGGUAGCUAAAUGCGGAAGAGAUAAGUGCUGAAAGCAUCUAAGCACGAAACUUGCCCCGAGAUGAGUUCUCCCUGACUCCUUGAGAGUCCUGAAGGAACGUUGAAGACGACGACGUUGAUAGGCCGGGUGUGUAAGCG